GACGAACGCUGGCGGCGCGCUUAACACAUGCAAGUCGAACGGAAAGGCCCUGCUUUUGUGGGGUGCUCGAGUGGCGAACGGGUGAGUAACACGUGAGUAACCUGCCCUUGACUUUGGGAUAACUUCAGGAAACUGGGGCUAAUACCGGAUAGGAGCUCCUGCUGCAUGGUGGGGGUUGGAAAGUUUCGGCGGUUGGGGAUGGACUCGCGGCUUAUCAGCUUGUUGGUGGGGUAGUGGCUUACCAAGGCUUUGACGGGUAGCCGGCCUGAGAGGGUGACCGGCCACAUUGGGACUGAGAUACGGCCCAGACUCCUACGGGAGGCAGCAGUGGGGAAUAUUGCACAAUGGGCGGAAGCCUGAUGCAGCAACGCCGCGUGCGGGAUGACGGCCUUCGGGUUGUAAACCGCUUUCGCCUGUGACGAAGCGUGAGUGACGGUAAUGGGUAAAGAAGCACCGGCUAACUACGUGCCAGCAGCCGCGGUGAUACGUAGGGUGCGAGCGUUGUCCGGAUUUAUUGGGCGUAAAGGGCUCGUAGGUGGUUGAUCGCGUCGGAAGUGUAAUCUUGGGGCUUAACCCUGAGCGUGCUUUCGAUACGGGUUGACUUGAGGAAGGUAGGGGAGAAUGGAAUUCCUGGUGGAGCGGUGGAAUGCGCAGAUAUCAGGAGGAACACCAGUGGCGAAGGCGGUUCUCUGGGCCUUUCCUGACGCUGAGGAGCGAAAGCGUGGGGAGCGAACAGGCUUAGAUACCCUGGUAGUCCACGCUGUAAACGGUGGGUACUAGGUGUGGGGUCCAUUCCACGGGUUCCGUGCCGUAGCUAACGCUUUAAGUACCCCGCCUGGGGAGUACGGCCGCAAGGCUAAAACUCAAAGGAAUUGACGGGGCCCCGCACAAGCGGCGGAGCAUGCGGAUUAAUUCGAUGCAACGCGUAGAACCUUACCUGGGUUUGACAUGGAUCGGGAGUGCUCAGAGAUGGGUGUGCCUCUUUUGGGGUCGGUUCACAGGUGGUGCAUGCCUGUCGUCAGCUCGUGUCGUGAGAUGUUGGGUUAAGUCCCGCAACGAGCGCAACCCUUGUUCACUGUUGCCAGCACGUUAUGGUGGGGACUCAGUGGAGACCGCCGGGGUCAACUCGGAGGAAGGUGGGGAUGACGUCAAGUCCUCAUGCCCCUUAUGUCCAGGGCUUCACGCAUGCUACAAUGGCUGGUACAGAGAGUGGCGAGCCUGUGAGGGUGAGCGAAUCUCGGAAAGCCGGUCUCAGUUCGGAUUGGGGUCUGCAACUCGACCUCAUGAAGUCGGAGUCGCUAGUAAUCGCAGAUCAGCAACGCUGCGGUGAAUACGUUCCCGGGGCU
rnacentral:rRNA from 1 species